ACCGAUGAGGGCGACUACAACGUCAAGAUCCGAAAUCUCACCCGGUUUCUGGAACACGGCGACAAGUGCAAGGUCACCAUUCGUUUCCGGGGUCGGGAAAUGGCUCACCAGGAAUUGGGUGGCAAGCUGCUGGAUCGGAUUGAGCAGGAUCUGGAAGAACUGGCUACCGUGGAACAGCGGCCCAAGAUGGAAGGUCGCCAGAUGAUCAUGGUGCUUGGGCCCAAGAAGAAAUAAUGCAUAAAACGGAUUCACGGGUUCCGGUACACCUGUGCGUCCCGAUCAACAGGACCGCCGUGAAGGCGGCCUUACCAGGAGUUCGA
rnacentral:misc_RNA from 1 species